rnacentral:misc_RNA from 1 species
AAGAGAGCAAAUGUUUUGGGUUCAAAUCAACCCACACCGGCAACCUGCCUGAUCGCUUAGCGGUUGUUGGCCUAAGUUGACCGGCUAUUUAGGCGUCUAGGGGCUAGGCCAGGUGCCUAGUUGCCGACUAGACCAACUUUUAGAACACUGUAGAUUGGUACUGAUUGGGUAUCUGAAUGGAAUGCGUGGGACAUGAUUUACAUCAUGCGGAGGAUUAAACAAA